GAUGUGAUAGGAUCAUUGCUGUGUCUGUCACAGGGAGUACAAGGAAAGCAGGAGUGGCUGGAUUGAUUUUUAAAUCAAUUUUAAAAAUUAUGUAAAAAAUUCCCUCAGGAAAGUUGAGCCUGAGAAAGUGCAUCUUUUGUAACUGGUGUGGAAAAACCUUUUGGAGGGAAGAAGAAAGGAGAGGAAAUAGAGAGAAAAAAAAGCCUGAAAUUAAAUGAGAAGUCAAUCUACCCAGAAAACUUAAAAAUUUGUUUUCUGGACAAGUGAGGAGAAAAACAGGAGGGAUUGAACAAGAGAACAAAAAUAGACAACAACAACAACUUGGAUUUACAUAGCGCCCUCCACACCG